AUUGAACGCUGGCGGCAUGCCUUACACAUGCAAGUCGAACGGCAGCACGGGAGCAAUCCUGGUGGCGAGUGGCGAACGGGUGAAUAAUGUAUCGGAACGUACCUUCAGUGGGGGAUAACGUAGCGAAAGUUACGCUAAUACCGCAUAUUCUGUGAGCAGGAAAGCAGGGGAUCGCAAGACCUUGCGCUGAUUGAGCGGCCGAUAUCAGAUUAGCUAGUUGGUGAGGUAAAGGCUCACCAAGGCGACGAUCUGUANCGGGUCUGAGAGGAUGAUCCGCCACACUGGAACUGAGACACGGUCCAGACUCCUACGGGAGGCAGCAGUGGGGAAUUUUGGACAAUGGGCGCAAGCCUGAUCCAGCCAUGCCGCGUGAGUGAAGAAGGCCUUCGGGUUGUAAAGCUCUUUCAGCCGGGAAGAAAACGCAUGGGUUAAUACCCUGUGUGGAUGACGGUACCGGAAUAAGAAGCACCGGCUAACUACGUG
rnacentral:rRNA from 1 species